GCCUUCGUGGUGUAAUGAUUAGCACACUCGGCGUGUAUUCGAGAGGUCCAGGUUCAAAUCCUGGUGAGAGCA
rnacentral:tRNA from 1 species